rnacentral:rRNA from 1 species
UACGGAGGAGGCAAGCGUUAUCCGGAAUUAUUGGGCGUAAAGGGUGCGUAGGCGGUUUGGUAAGUCUUGUGUGAAAUCUCCAGGCUCAACUUGGAGUCUGCACGAGAAACUGCCGGGCUUGAGUGUGGGAGAGGUGAGUGGAAUUCCCGGUGUAGCGGUGAAAUGCGUAGAUAUCGGGAAGAACAUCAGUGGCGAAGGCGGCCUGCUGGGCUGUUGCUGACGCUGAGGCGCGACAGCGUGGGGAGCAAACAGG